AUCCCUGUGUAAAGUGAGCUCAAUUUGUUGCCGGCGUGAGUCACGCUUAGCUUGCAUUUAUGGAAAAAAACCCCAAAACUGGAUGGUGAAAAUCGAAUUAGCUUGCUAGACAGUCCAGGUAAAACAAGGCUGUGUGGGAGGGGGUGGGGGUGGGCGCAUCGAGCAGGUGGGUGAAGCCGGCUUUGCCACAGCAGAGCGCAGGCCUCUGAGCAGGACUGAGAGGGGACGUGGGCGGCGUGCACAGAGUGAGUCCCAGAGCAUCCAUGGUGCCUAGUUUCACGCACCAGCUCCUGAACUCGGCCUUGCCAGGCUGAGGAAGCCGGAGUCUGCAGGGGUCCACAGGGGUCCUGCCUCCAGGCCGUCUGCUGUGUUCCAGGGCCUUGCUAGACAGUUCCACAUUCCAUAGUCAUCUUUGCUGCCGUGCUUCAACUGCUUCCAUUUAGGUGUUAUUAAUCUUUCUUUGGAGACGAGAAAAUGGGGAAAGAGAGAAAACCACUCACCUGUGGCUACCCAGGGCUUAGUGAAGAAGGCAAGAGCAGUAUCCAGGUGUGUUUGGCCCCAGAAACAGCUCUUUGCAGUUCCCCAGGUGGAGCGAGAUUCUCUCUCUGUCUCUCAGUACACACCAGCAUUUAUGUACCUGGACAUCGCCUCAAAGUCUUUUCCCAUCUGGCCCUCAGAAUGAUACCUCCUGGGCAUGAUUCCUCUGCGUGUUGUCCUAGAACCUGUCACCUGGCUUAGGUCCUCCCUGGGGUCAGUGUAGCAGAAACACAAGCUUCCGACAGUUUUCUCUGCGUAGAUCUCUGCUUUUGCUCUGUUAAAUGGACCAUCACCCCGAGUUACCUGCCUAGAGUUGGGUGACGGGGUGCGGUGUGUUUUGGAUCAUUUCUUGGCAUGUUUUGGAGGAUGGCUGGUACCUCUGAAUGCAGGGUGGAGGACACCACGACCUCUCUUGUUAGCUGCCGUUCUGGGAGGGGCGAUGUCUCACUGAGUACAGGUGACACGCAUAUUUGCACCAAGUCUGCCCCGAAGAGCAGACUCCUCUGUGCUGGACGGCAGCCUUAACUCAUGUCAGUUUCUAGCCAUGUCCCGGUUCAGAGUUGGUCCCCCCCAAGUGGGGCGUAAGCGACAGGUCGAUGCUCAUUCCUAAGCGGUUUAAGUCGAGACGCAGGUGACAGCUCUGUCCCCUGAGCCUGGUUUUCAGACAGCGCAGGGACUGUCUCUCCACAACCGAGCGUGGAAAAUGUUUUUAAAUGUAUUGGGUGAAGAGUACAAUUGUUAUUCAGAAACAGUCUAUUUUUCCCCUUCAAAGCCUGCCUUCUAACACUGAGUUAUUUUCCUGCUCUUUUUCAGUAAAUCAAAGGUCUCGCCAUCAUGUAAACCCUUGGGCGACUGAGUCUCACCCGUCCCGAUAUUGUUCUAGGAGUCUCCGAUGCUAUCUGUGCGGCUGCAGACCACAGAGGUGCCGCAGAUGGCCGGCCUCCCAGGUGAGAUUAGAUUGAACCCUGUUUAUCUCUCCAUUGUCGUUUAAUCACUUUCAGGGAAGCUCUGUGGUGAGACUUUUCAUUGUUGCUGUUCUUAAAGGGAACACUCGCUGUGCUGUGACAAUGUGACGGCAGAGGCAGCUCCCUGAGCGGCCCGGCCUCUGCCCGGCGGGGACAUGGCCCACAGCGAGGGCAGGCGUGUUCUCCACCCAGUGCGCCACCUGUGCGAGGCGGGGCAGGGCAGGGAGGACGCGGGAACUCUCCGCUGUGUCCGUGCCACCUCCGGACCCGGCAGGUGGGGAAAGGGCAGAGUCCAGUGGAAACCGGUGGGUGACGUCUGGGUUCCGAGGGCCCCGGAGCUGGGCCCGGUCGGUCCGCCACCCGCAAGGCUGGGGCUUGGUCGGGGUGGAACUUCUCUGUGUCCCAGGUGCCUCAUCUACGAAACGGCGGCGACAGCAAAACAGUGAAGGCCACAGCGCGCCCAACCCGGGCUUAAGAGCUUUUCCGUCAUCUAGCGCAGCCAUCCCAGGAGACUGAGUUCAUACCGUCCCGUUUCACCGCGGAAGCAACGGAGAGGUUCAGGGAGGUCCGUGACUCGUCCAAGUUCCCACGGCUAACAAGCUGGGGGGCUGGGUGGACCCCAGGGCUGUCUGCGCGGAAGCCGCCACUGGCGGGAGCAUGUGCCGAGGUGCUGCCUCUGCCGGGGGCUCUACCGCACCCCCAGGGCCUGCAGAGUUUGAGGGGUGCUGAGCUGGGGCGGGGCUGCGCGUGCUGCUCUGAGUGCGAGGAAGUGUAACGUGACAGACGCUCACACAGGCGCGCGCAUCAGACGUCACUGUGCGCCCUGGUCACGUGCUCAGGGCAGGUGCCGUGCUUCCGCCCCCCGGCGCUCUGAGAUUCGCGCCUCUGACCCUCUCUCAGCGCGCGCAUGCGCAGAAGGGCGCCGGGCGUCCUGUGAGGAAUGAAGACGCACGGUAUUUAUUUCUCUAACACUUGAAUAAAUCCUCGGGGGACUGAGGUCACGGGAAGUUAGGGACGAUCUUCAGCGCGUGGGGGUCCUCAUGGUGAAUCUGCAGCCGCGUUUCCUCGGCCUCAUUCCGAAUACGCAGAGAGACGCCGCGUGACACGGAAGCAGAAACCAGCGCCUCGAGACCUCUGUGGAUCGCGCGAGACUUCCGUUCCCGCCUCAGGAAGCGGCACCCGGAGAGGCUGGUGCGUUGGUUUUGUGACCGGCAGAGCCCGGCGCGACACGGAAGCGGAAGCCAGCGCCUCGAGACCUCCGUGAGGUUCGCGAGAUUUCUGUUCUCCGCUCAGGAAGUGGCGCCCUGAUAGGCUGGUGCGUUGGUUUUGUGACCCGCAGAGCCCUGCCAGAGGUCGCGCUGCCACCUGAGCUUCUGCGCCGCUGACCGAGGUCGACACUGUUGGACGGAGGGCCACACGCAGCCUGUGGGCUCCCCACGGGACCGGGACCACGGGGUAAGGCUACAUCUCCGCCACCCCCACCCCACUGUGGCCCCUGGUGCCCCCACGCUCCGGCCCUCGGCUCCUGGGGUCUUUCUGAGGAUGCCGCUGUGCUGCGUCACCCCUUUGGUGGCUUCCGGUCACGCCACAAGGAGUUGAACCACCUGGCGGUGCACUCAGGCCUCCCACCGCAGCUGCACCCCAUGCAGGGCACCUGCCACGGGCCCGCGACACCCCGGACCUGCGCCUUCCGCCUCGCCAGCCCCUUGCUUCCUCACUGGGCCAAGUCCUCGUCCUCCGAGUCACGCGAGGAACAACCGUCCACCAGGCGCUCGCCAUGAUGUCCCAGGCCCCGGGUGGUGGCCGGGACCCAGCGGGAGCAGCACAGACAGCCCCUCGCCCCAGCCAGGGCCGCCUCGUCUCCCAGCCCGGCGGACGAGCCCUCCAGGAGGACGUGGAGUUCACGGGCUGGUCCUCGGCCCUGCUCCCGAGAAGCCGCGCCGUGCCCUGAGCUCGCUGUCUCGGGCUGGAAGGACGGCCGGGAUGUCCUGCACACCCAGCGGGAUGUGGGGCUGGGCCUGGGGCAGCUUCGCCUUGCCGAGCUCCUGCCUGGUGCUGCAGAGAAGCUCGGAAGCUCACCUGCCCCUUUCUCCCGCACGGACGCUGGUGUGCCGUGCUCAUGUGUGAGCACACACGCGUGAGAGCGCUCCUGCCCGCACCUGUGCCGAGAAGGUCUCAGUACUUGCGCAGAAAGGAGCAGGUGUUGGCAUCUAUUUGGAUCCCAAGCCUGGAGUGGAAGGAAACAGAGAGGAAUUUCACUGUUCAACGAAAAACGUCAGUAUUGAAGACAAGGUGAUGUCGAGUGCUAGUCUUCAACGAUCCACAAGGGGCUGUGAGUGAGGACUGUGGGCGGUGAGACCCUUGUGCUGGGUAUAAAACGACGAUGGCGGCUACAAAGGAAAGACGACCUCUGCCAAGAGGUAGAGGUGCCUCUCCGCGUGGAGAACUGUGCCAGGCAUCUUGCAUAAACUAUGUCUUUUAUUCCCACUACCACUUGCCCGACAGGCAUCAUUAAAUCCUUUCGACAGGAGCAGGAAUGGAGGCCCAGGAAGGCAAAGUGAUUUCCAGGUCACACAGGUGAAAAUGGGAGAGCCGGGGUGCUGAUCCAGCGUGAGAGACAAAAGCUGGGGCUUUCUUCUCCUUCCAGACGCUGCUGCACAUGUCACUUCUGUUCCAUCAGGCCUGGAAGGGUGUGGGGAAGACGGGCCUCGGAGAUUUCCCCAGCAGGCCCUCCCCUGCCUGCCUGGGUGGAGGUUUACAUCCACCUGGGGCAGGGCUUCAGCACCAGGCACCCCACUCACACCCUCCUGUCCCUUCUAGCCAGGCAGCCAGGGUGGGCUCACAGGUCACCCCCCGGGGACUUUGCUCAGGGUCGGGACAGCCAGGACUGGGUCUUCUCCUCCUCCCUCCUGCCAGGGGAUCUGCCCUUGUCCCCUCGGAGCUGCCCAUCCCCACAGUGGUCCGAAGUUGUGAUGGGUUAAGAUUUUGGGGUUUGUACAAAUGCACAAAGAAUCAUGAUUGUUCCACAGCAGCGGGGCCCAUAGGGUGUGAUCGUCGUCUAAACAUAGGACAACUUCAUCUUCCAGCCAGUGCAGAGCUAGGACAGACAUCCUUCUUUUUUUGUUUGUUUUUUGGAUGGAGCCCAGCCUACCCUGCCCUCUCUCACCCUCUGGGAGAUGGAGGGUGUAUCUGUGGAGGGAGGAAUCCCACUGCCCCUCACCGAGAACCCGUG